CCAAGUAACUAGGAAUAUUAACCUAGUUAGUUGGCGUCUUGACAUAAUAGAACAAAUAUGGCUAAAAUAACCAAACUAUAUGAUUAACAAAAGUGGAGGGGCCUAUGUUGUUAAAAUUGAAACUUAUAUUAUUAGUUUUAAUUAAAAACAAAACCAAACACCCCCAUUUGGAUGUCUGGUCGAUCAAGAACAGGAGAGGGCGACCUCCCUCAUCCUCAAAACCCUAAAAUUCACUAAACCCACAAAUUGAAGGCUCAAUCCAAGUUGAAAUCAAAAUCUGAACAUGGAAUCGUGAUCACCUCGUCAAAAGGAGUCAUAAGUUUGACGCUAAACGAGCUAGGUGGAAGCUUGAGGACGAAGCGGGUCAAACAAAUCAAUAAGGAAAAGUAACGCAUAGUUUGGAUGCGAGGUGAAUGUUAUAUGCUUCCGCAUGAAGAUCAAGCCACAAGCAAGAACCGAACACACCUCUCAAUGAUGCUUCCGCAUUCAAUCUAGUUUUCUUUUAAUAAAAGUGGAUUAUGUAAACACUUUUAACGAUGUUUUGGAUGUUGUAAACAUGUUUAAAUACUUAUGAUGUAAAAGUUUUUGUUAAGUGGCAUUUUUCAUAUAAAAUGCUUACUUUAAUGUUAUGUAAAUGUUAAAAAUUA